UUUACUCACGCGCUUAUCCCAUCUUUUGUACUUUUCAUUAAUGCUACUUGUCAACAUGUGUGUACACUAUAUCGGUAGGUAUGUAGAUAUAUAUGGCGCGAUCAGAUUUGAAGAGUCAGUUACUAUGAAGAUAACAUCUGUUGUAUAAAAAAUCAUUGUGUAAAGUGGUGAUUUUUAUUUGUCAAGCACAUUUUAAAGUCUAUAAUUUAUGCCGACAUUCAAUAUUAGACUCCAUUAAACUGAGACUUCGGAAUAAUAAAUAAAAUGGAAAUAAUAUACCAGGAUUUGACAGAACGAUUUGUAAAACAAACAUUAGCUAAUGGCACAAACCGUAUUGAGUUAACAGUAAUCCAUAUAGAGUCAUUAGGUGUUUCAUUUUAAUAGGAUAUCUUUUUUUAAAGUACAAAAUGCAUGAAUUUAAAUUAUUCUCUAUUGCGAUUUAUUAGUUUAAUAUUGAAAACAAUUCAAAAAGUAAAGAUAAUCAACAAAAUUUAGUACAAAAUUAGUAGUGCCCUUGUACUCUGUAUCUUUAUUGUCGUGUUUUUUUUCUAACAGCUGUGUGUACAAAAUAUAUUAAAUAAAUAAAUAAAUAAAA